UUGCGGAUCGUCGGAUUUCACAGAGAAAAAUGUUCGGAUUUCGGAUCUGGCGAAUAUUUUACACGGAUUUGCGGAUCUUAUUAAUACAGCGGAUUGCGGAUUUAUUUAAUAAUAUUUUGUCUCGGAUUGUGGAUUUAGCUUGCAAUUUAGUUCGGAUCCUGGAUUGUGAUUUCAUAGUAGAGCUUUUAGCGGAUUCAAAUUUGGACAAGACAUUGUCGGAUCGCGGAUUUUGCUUCAAUUUGGGCGGAUCGGCGGAUUUGUAUACCCCCCCCCCCCCCCCUCCCCCAAUUCUAUAUUACAGAGAAAU